UACGACGGGGGCUAGCGUUGUUCGGAAUUACUGGGCGUAAAGCGUGCGCAGGCGGUCCGCAAAGUCUGAUGUGAAAGCCCCGGGCUCAACCUGGGAACUGCAUUGGAAACUAACGGGCUCGAGUGUGGCAGAGGGGGGUGGAAUUCCACGUGUAGCAGUGAAAUGCGUAGAGAUGUGGAGGAACACCGAUGGCGAAGGCAGCCCCCUGGGCUAACACUGACGCUCAGGCACGAAAGCGUGGGGAGCAAACAGG
rnacentral:rRNA from 1 species